CACGUAGGGCGCAAGCGUUGUCCGGAAUUAUUGGGCGUAAAGAGCUCGUAGGCGGUCUGUUGCGUCCGCUGUGAAAACUCGGGGCUUAACCCCGAGCCUGCAGUGGAUACUAUUCGGCUAGAGGGUUGGAGGGGGGACUGGAAUUCUCGGUAUAGCAGUGAAAUGCGUAGAUAUCGAGAGGAACACCAGUGGCGAAGGCGAGUCCCUGGACAACUCCUGACGCUGAGGCACGAAAGCUAGGGGAGCAAACAGG
rnacentral:rRNA from 1 species